rnacentral:misc_RNA from 1 species
CUUUUCUAUUUAUUCCUUAUUUGAGAAGGAGUUGACUUAGAAAUUCAUUUGUUGUAUAUUCACUUGGCUGUAUAAUCAUUGAUUUAGAUCCUAAUUUGUUGUGAUUCUUAUUAGCUGUAUAAUCCUUUAUUUAGUUCCUAAUUUGUUGUAAUGCCUGAUUAGUUGUUUUUUCCCUUGUUUAUUUAGGUCCUCUUGGUGUAUAAAUUCUU